rnacentral:lncRNA from 1 species
AAUUGGACUAGAAAACUUUUUGAUCUGAGGGGAACAAAACAUACAGAAGAAAGCACACCAAAUGUUUACAUAAAAUUGUAGCGCACACUGGGUCUCCUGAAGGACAUCACUGAGUCUUUCUGCGUCCAGACUCCUUACCCUAAGGGUGGGGAUUUCAGAGAUGGAAUAUGAGGAAGAUAAGGCAACAGCAAUAGAUUGGAGAAGUUUCUUUAAAACGAAGGAUUUACAGUCUGUGUUCUUCAAACAACUGCCUCGAGACAGAGCACAGGCAGCGCCUAAUCGGUCAGCCAGCCACCAGUUAAUAAAGCUUCCUCUUUCUGUUCGUUUGCUGCCCAGAACAAUCUGAGAAGCUGAGGAAGCUUGAGAAAAUUCUUAAAGAUAAUCAAAGAGUAAUUACAAUCAUCUUUGUUUCACCGAAAGUUUAAUUAAGAACAGCUAUAGAGAAAACAUAUGUUUCUUAUCCUUCAGUUGUUUUGUAAUCAGCAACAAAAAUGAGAAAGUAGCAACUCAGAAAAUAAAGGAAGCAGGAACAUUUGAAAGAAAGCAAUCUGAGGUGCAGAGGAAAAUCUUUGGUGCAUAAGCUGGAACACAAAAGCAAAAAUGAUGAAAAUUGAACAAUGUUAACAUUUUUAGGGGCCUU